GGCACAGUAACUUGGCCCACACCGUUGCGACGACAGUUUUGAACGGAACUUGCUGGUGCUUGGAAGGCAGUGCGGCCGAUCUCCGCGAAGUUAACUCCAUAAUAUACCGUCGCGCUCAAAUAUUUAUCACAAAAUACAAAAAACAUUAUUCUGUGUGUUUAUUUUUUUCCUGUUUUUUCGUUACGUAUUAACUGAUUUUUGUGCUGGUGAUCCCAAAAUAAUUUAAUUCAGCAUAUCGUUAAGUGAUUUCUUGAUUUUCGAGCCGUGUUUGCAUACAACAAUAGUUAAUUGAUUCUGUGACAUCAACCGUAUUUGGGAGUCAGUUUUGUAAAGGACCGCUUCACCAUGUCCCGAAAACGAAUUCACGAACUUGUCCAACAGCCCCUGCUCCUCCUGCCGCUGCUGCUCCUAAUCCUGUUCGUCGGCAGAGCAGUGGGCGUGGCUCUCGUAUCCCCCAACAAUAGGCUCCCGUCGCAGCGCUUCUUCUACGCCGCCGCCCCAGUCUCCACCUCCUCCUCGCAGACCAAGGUACGUCUGCUCCGCCAGGCGGACGACCCCAAUACGGCGCCGGAUGCAGUGGAGGGCAGCUGCUGUCAAGGAGCAGCCGCCGAAGCCGGAAAACCACUGGCGCUUCCACUGGCCGUGUCCGCCGAGUUGAGCAACGUGACCGCCGAUUACGAUGUGUCCGGCGAGAUGCCGUCCUCCAAAGAAAACUUCAAGCGCAGCAUCACGAAAUCCGCCGUGAGAAACGCGACGCCGGCGAGCUGCUCACCGCAACCGACGAUCGUGGAGCUGAUGCCGCCGGCGGAGGACAGGGCGAACUACUACUACAUGCCCGCCUGCACGCGGAUCAGCCGGUGCAACGGCUGCUGCGGCUCCACGCUGAUCUCCUGCCAGCCCACGGAGGUGGAGCAGGUGCAGCUGCGGGUGCGCAAGGUGGACCGGGCGGCCACCAGCGGACGCAGGCCGUUCACCAUCGUCACCGUGGAGCAGCACACGGCGUGCCGCUGCGAUUGCCGCACAAAGGCGGAGGACUGCAACGUGUACCAGUCGUACAUCAAGGACCUGUGCCGCUGCGAGUGCCACAACACGGACGCCAGGGACAAGUGCCUGGAGCAGGCGGACAGCAAGUACUGGGUGGACGACAACUGCACCUGCGUGUGCCGCUACAACCAGAGCUGCACCACCGGCACCGUCUUCGACGAGACGCAGUGCAAGUGCACCGACGUGAGUGGCUCCCGAUAGGACUCCACUUCCACCUCCACCUCCACUCCAACUCCACUCCCCUGAGGCUCCAUUAGGAUUGGUUUCGAUCUGGUCCUGGUCUGGUCUGGUCUGGUCUGGUCUGGGGAUCGGUUGUACUCGUCCUUGAUCAAAAAUGUCGAGUAUUAUACUUAGAGUCCACAAAACAAAGCACACACUACACAAAUUUAUUUGAUUGAAAACUAAACUUUUUGUGAUAUUGUUAAAUUAACUUUCUCGGAAAAUUAACUAAAAAUUAGCAUAUUUUAUUUAGCAAUUGGUUAAGGAUACAAUAAAAAAAAAAAAGCAAAAAUGUAAAUUAUAGCUGAGUUGAGGCAAAAAAAGGGAGAUGGGAGUUGCAUUGUCCAGCCGCACCCAUCAAUGUUUUGGACCGCAAACGCUUCAUUGUCCAGGCCGUACAGGUGGACCCCGAUAACACCACCCUGUACAGUGUGUGAGGGCAGUUAAGGGACAUCAAGGAGUACGAAGGAGAAACGCCAGCUUCCUAGAGGGGAAUUCCCGAGUACUGAUAAACAGAAAAUACCCAAGAAUUGCACUAAGCGUAUUGCCUAUGUACUUUAUAAUAUUUAUAGUUGUCGAUUUAACCUAGGCUGUAACUACUGUACCCUUUAAACUAACUUACAGUAUUUCCCCCUUUGCAUAAGCGGCACAAAGUCAAAAACUUUAAGGUGUUUCACCGAAAUCUCUAAAGAUUUGCUAUCACUUAAAAAAUUGUCCAAAAUUAUUGCCUUAAUUGAAGUGAACUUUUGGACACAUUUUCAAGAGAUUUCUGUGCAACGCCUGUUAAUUAAUUUUUAUUCAUUUGUUUAUAUUAAUUUUUAAGCGCCAUCUACUUUUUCGCGGCCUUGUACACAUUUGUUUAUUUCUGCUUGUUUAAGUUUUAAAUUAUCCCAAAUUAAUUGUCCACAAACUUAAUGCUAUCCAACAAUUCGCCGUACUUCAUUUGUGCGUAACCAUUUUUUUUUUGUAUAAAAUGUUAGAUAUAAGUUUACGUAAUGAAAAUACAGACAAAGUUUUGAAUUAUUAAUUCAAAAA